rnacentral:rRNA from 1 species
GAUGAACGCUAGCUACAGGCUUAACACAUGCAAGUCGAGGGGCAGCAUGAUCGAAGCUUGCUUUGAUUGAUGGCGACCGGCGCACGGGUGAGUAACGCGUAUCCAACCUUCCCUAUAGUAGAGAAUAGCCCGGCGAAAGUCGGAUUAAUGCUCUAUGUUGUAUUUAGAAGACAUCUGAAGAAUACCAAAGGUUUACCGCUAUAGGAUGGGGAUGCGUCUGAUUAGGUUGUUGGCGGGGUAACGGCCUACCAAGGCGACGAUCGGUAGCCGGUCUGAGAGGAUGAACGGCCACAUUGGGACUGAGACACGGCCCAGACUCC